CCGCCCCAGGAGGCCGACGGCGACAGUUCAUCCCACCUGGUGCUUCCUCCCCCCCUGCCUGUGCGCCACGCUGGCCUCGAGCCAAAGGAAUUCUCCCAGCAACCCGGGAAGGCGGCUGGGCCCGUCGGGGAGGCUUCUGGGUUUGAAAACAGGCUUUGCCCAAGUUCCCACAGCUAAAACUCUGUCACAGGCAGCCUGGGUGCCCGGAGUGUUUGCCACUGAGACCUGGGCCUGCCCAUGGGGGGCACGGUACCGAGUUUGGGCAGCGGGCACCACCGGGGAGUGGCCUCUGGAGGCGGGAGGCUGGAGCAAGAGACUGACCCUGUCCAUUGGGCCUGCAGGAUGUCAGUGGGCCCCUGAGGGAGCUGCGCCCUCGGCUCUGCCACCUGCGAAAGGGACCUCAGGGCUAUGGGUUCAACCUGCAUAGUGACAAGUCCCGGCCCGGCCAGUACAUCCGCUCCGUGGACCCGGGCUCACCUGCCGCCCGCUCUGGCCUCCGCGCCCAGGACCGGCUCAUUGAGGUGAACGGGCAGAACGUGGAGGGACUGCGCCAUGCUGAGGUGGUGGCCAGCAUCAAGGCACGGGAGGACGAGGCCCGGCUGCUGGUUGUGGACCCCGAGACAGAUGAACACUUCAAGCGGCUUCGGGUCACACCCACCGAGGAGCACGUGGAAGGUGGGCCACGGCCCAGGGCACAGGGUGGGUGCGGUGUGGUGGCUGAGCAGCCACUGACACGCUGUCCCCACAGGUCCUCUGCCGUCACCCUUCACCAAUGGAACCAGCCCUGCCCAGCUCAAUGGUGGCUCUGCGUGCUCGUCCCGAAGUGACCUGCCUGGUUCCGACAAGGACACUGAGGAUGGCAGUGCCUGGAAGCGAGAUCCCUUCCAGGAGAGCGGCCUCCACCUGAGCCCCACGGCGGCCGAGGCCAAGGAGAAGGCUCGAGCCACGCGAGUCAACAAGCGCGCGCCACAGAUGGACUGGAACAGGAAGCGUGAAAUCUUCAGCAACUUCUGAGCCCCUUCCUGCCUGUCUCGGGGCCCUGGGACUCCUCCCGCACGGACCUUGGGCCUCAGCCUGCCCCGAGCUCCCCCAGCCUCAGUGGACUGGAGGGUGGUCCUGCCAUUGCCCAGAAAUCAGCCCCAGCCCCGGUGAGCCCCC
rnacentral:sRNA from 1 species